rnacentral:lncRNA from 1 species
UUCAUUAUGACACUGGUUACCUCUGAGCCUUCAGUGAGCUGCUGCUGGAUGAACGGACUGGAGGUGACCAUCUCCUUGGUGAGAGGCCAGGUCAGAGGACCUAAAUGCUGGUGGCCCUCACCAGCUGCACUGAAGCCCCUCUCCACUGGAAACAUGGGACAAGAGUCAAAUUCACAGGUCAAGGGUUGGGGUCUAGUCUGAUCACGUGUCUUUGGCCAAGGUCCUUACCAUCUCGAGGCUCAGUUUCUGAUACAUGAAAUGAAUGGGGUGCACUGGCCAACCUCAGGUUCUUCUCUGAUGCUUCCCUGACUGCUUGUGUGGGCCUCUUUUGGGUGGUGACCCCCUAGCUCGGCUGAGUGGCCAGGCCUCACAGGGUAGGCUGGAGAGGUCCCUGGGACACUGCUCCUGCUCCUCUGGGCUUGCCACCAUUCCUGUGACUCAGGCUUUGCUCUCUGCUAGGCUACCACCAUCUCUGCUCUGUACAGAUGCUUGGUGAACUGACACUGGAUUUUUUUUUUUCUUCAAGCAGGAGAACUGCAGUUGCUAGCGGUUUCUAGCAGCAGACACAGAAAGUCCCCUUGGAGCGGAACUUCUUUGUUUCUGGAAGGUCAUCAGGCCUUUGCAGUUAAACCAAUGCUAAACAAAUACACACUGCUACUCUUGCACUGGCCUUGGACUUGGAAAUCAUCUCAAACACAGACACUUCAGGCUGGUGUGUUUGCUCUCCUGUUUCAUAACAAUCACUGUCAAAAGGCUGUUGUAAGGCAGAGCAUCAGGGACAGGGGCCUCUGGGGUGUGGGAAGGACCUGAAAAUCUCUCUGUGGGGAGGGGCUGAGCUGAUCCUUCCCCUGGCACAUGGAAACCUGCUGGGGGAUGGCAGGGUCCCCUCCCCUGAGAUUGGGUUUAAAGCAUGUGGGUUCAGGAGAACCUGAGUUUAUAGGAGUAGUGAAAACUCUGUCGAUGUGUGGGAUGAGAGCGUCUUCUGGAGAGGGUGACAUGAUGGUGCACAGGCAUCCUGAGAGGUGGGAGAGGCGCUGGCUGAUGGACGGAGGUGACAGCUUCCGCUGCAUGCUGGCAACGCCGGAUACACUGGCUGCUGCUUUUCCCACCUCUGGCCUGGUGCUCGCCAAUGGGGUCUGCUGUGCGUGGCCAAUGCCUGUUCUUCUCCUUUCUGCCAUUGCUCUUGGCUUUAACAGGGUUCAGGACUUGCCACCCCAAAAUAUAGCACCUUGGCAUCAAGAAAACAGCAGAAGCAGGAAGGCGACAUUCCCCUUCCCCUCGCCUGUCUCCCCCGAAGCAGACCAUAGAAGAAUUCUCGGAUCUUUCUCUAAAGCAGUUCAUAAGACCCUCAUUCCAGAAGCAUCCUCCCUAUCCCUGGAGAAAAGGAGUGUCCUACAGAGACCCCAGGAAGAAUCUGAAUAAACAGGCCUUGCUAAGUCCCCCAGUUUAUUAGCAUAAGUCACACCCUCUUAUCCUCCAAUCCCAUGUCUGCAUGACUAUGCAUGAAGACAGUUUCCCCUGUUUCUUUGGGUCUUUAUUUCUGAAGGUUCCUGUGUCACAUGAAAUUUAUAGUAAAUACAUUUGUAUGCUGUUCUCUUGUUGACCUGGCUUUUGUUAUGGGGGUCUCAGCCACUAACUUUUUUUUUUUUUAAAGACAGAGUCUCGCUCUGUCACCCAGGCUGGAGUGCAGUGGUGUGAUUUCGGCUCACUGCAACCUCUACCUCCUGGGUUCAAGUGAUUCUCCUGCUCAGCCUCCUGAGUAGGUGGGAUUACACAGGCACCUGCCACCACACCCGGCUAAUUUUUGUAUUCUUAGUAGAAGUGGGGUUUCACCAUGUUGGCCAGGCUGGUCUUGAACUCCUGACCUCAAGUGAUCCACUGCCUCAGCCUCCCACAGUGCUGGGAUUACAGGUGUAGAACGCCACACCCAGCAGCCAUGAACCUUUCCAUAGGAAUUACCUUCUUCUUCCUCUAGCUUCCUCAGCACUCUGCUCUCUGCAGGCGCCUCUCCUUACGCCGCAUGCAUAAGGACCCCUAGGGAGGUUGUACUGUGGCUGCUCACAGUCUUGUUUAAGGAAUCUCUUAGGCAGAAUCCUUUCUCCUGACUCUGCUUGUGUCAUCUGUGAACCUCGAGGUGGCUUCCCUAGGCUGGGGCACAUGCCCUGGUCCCACAGCUAUGGCCCGAGUGACAGAGGUCCCAAGCAUCAAUCCCAGGGACUUAUUCACAAGGGCAUGGUGAGCGUUAUUCUCAGAGGGGAUGUCUACGAUCAGGCCCGGGGCACUCUCUGGCUUGCCUCGCUACUACACUAUGGUUUCUCUCUGCUCAGAGCCCACACUUUGCUGUGCAAACUUGUCAUUUGGUAAAUUAUCCUGCAUGCCCUGUGUUCCCUUUUUUCCCAUUUUCUUGAGAUUAGUUUCUCAUGUGUUUUUGGCUUGAUCUCCAAUCAAUGACAAAUCAUAUUUGUGCAUCAUUUUCUGGUUCACUUUCACAUGUGUAACUUGAGGGUGUGGACGUGAUCUUGCAGGCCUGAGGCCCCCAGUGUCUGACACGGUGAGCUCCCAAUGAAGAGAUGGCUGGCCUGGUUGCAUGAAGGUUGUCUUGAUGGGAUUCUUGUUCCGGGCAUAGAGUUGGACUCUUGGACAACCAAAAUACCACUUCUGGAGCUCCUGAGGCUCCAUAUUGCCUCCCCCUGGUGGGAAGGUAUUUAUAAAUACCUUUGUGCCUGGAGAGUAUUAUAAAAUGGGACUGUUUUCUUGGUCGUUGUUGGAGCAUAUUCAAGACAUUUUACAAUAAGAGAAAAUCAAGAAACAGGGCCAGUUAAUAUGGCGGUCCUAUUUUAGGCAAUAAGGCAAGUCCCAACAGAUACUACACAUCACUGGUAGGUCACAUUCUGUGAAUGCAAUGCAAUAGAAGUCAUUAACAAAAGACAGCAAAUAAAAGUGUCUAUACAUUCAGGGUUUUUUUCUUUCUUUUUCUUUUUUUUGAGAUGGGGUCACACUCUGCCACCCAGGCUGGAGCGGUGUAGUGGUGUCAUCAUGGCUCACUGCAGCCUCAAACUCCUGGGCUCAAGGGAUCCUCCUACCUCAGUCUCCCAAGUAGCUAAGACUACAGGCAUGUGCCACCGGGCCCAGCUAAUUAAAACUUUUUUUUCCUUUAGAGAUAGGUUCUCACUUUGUUGCCCAUGCUGGUAUAUUCAGGGAUUUUGAAAACAUAUUUAUUAAUAAUUCAAAUCAAAGAAAAAAUUGCAAUGGAAAUAAUGAAAUAUUUAUGAAUUAAUGACUACUGUGAAAUACUACAUUUCAAAACUUGUGGAUACAACUAAAAUCAAUUAGAGGAAACGUUUAGCUUUAAAUGUAUUCAUCAGAAAAGAAGAUGUUUUGAAAAUCAAAAAGUCAAGAGUUCAAUUUAAGGCCAGGCAUGGUGGAAUGGUUCACAUCUGUAAUCCCAGCACUUUGGGAGGCCAAGGCAGGAGGAUUGCUUGAAUCCAGGAGUUUGAGACCAGCCUGAGCAACGUAGCAAGAUCCCAUCUCUAAAAUUUUUUUUUUUUUUUGAGACAGAGUCUUGCUCUGUUGCCCAGGCUGGAGUGCAGGGGCGCAAUCUUGGCUCACUGCAAGCUCUGCCUCCUGGGUUCACGCCAUUCUCCUGCCUCAGCCUCCUAAGUAGCUGGGACUACAGGCAUCCGCCACCGCACCCGGCUAAUUUUUUGUAUUUUUAGUAGAGACGGGGUUUUACCGUGGUCUCGAUCUCCUGACCUUGUGAUCCGCCGCCUCGGCCUCCCAAAGUGCUGGGAUUACAGGCGUGAGACACCGCGCCCAGCCAAAAAAUUUUUUUAAAAAUUAGCUGGGCAUGGUGGCAUGCACCUGUAGUCCUAGCUACUCGGAAGAUCCCUUGAGCCCAGGAGUUCGAGGCUAUGUUUGCACCAUUGCACUCUGGCCUGGAUGACAGAGUGAGAUGCUGUCUCUUUAAAAAAAAAAAAUUCAACUUAAGAAGUUAGAAAAAUAACAGAAUAUAUAGCCAAAGAAGGAAAAAAGAUAAGGAUAAAAAUUAAUGGACUACAAAACAAAAAUAAUAUUAAAGAGACUCAGUAAAACCAAAACUGGUUCUUCAAAAAGACAAAUAAAACAGACCUCUGCAAAAAGAAAAAAGAGAAGUCACACAUAAACAAUGCUAGGAAUGAAAAGAAGAUGAUAACCAUGGAUACAAUAGAGACUUUGAAAAAUCAUGAUAAAAUACUAUAAACAAUUUAUGACUAUUUUACAUUUAUAUGAAAUGGAUUAUUUUCUAGAAAAAUAUAAAUUACUAAAGAAACUUAAACCAAUCUGAAUAUACCUGUAAGCAUUAGAGUACUUGAAUCAGUGGUCAAAAAUAUAACCUUCAUUCCCUCAAGUUAAUUAAGAUAGGAGGCCCAGAGAGUUUUACUGAGAAGGUUUGCCCACCUUUAAUGAAAAGAUAAACUUUCAUGUACAAACGGUUCCAGUGAGCAGGGGGAAAAACACAUCCAAACUCAUUUAAUGAGGUAGAUUAGUAAAAUGAAGAUGAAACCAGAACAGAACAGCACCACGUGGGGAAAUUUUCAGCCAGUCUCACUUAGGAACAGAAUUGCACAAAUUCAAAAUAAAAUAUUAGCAGAUUAAACCUAGAAAUGUAUUUAAAAGUAUAGCAUGGCUGGGCAUGGUGGCUCAUGCCUGUAAUCCCACACUUUGGGAGGUUGAAGAGGGUGGAUCCCUUGAGGUCAGGAGUUGGAGACCAGCCUGGCCAACAUGGCAAAACCCUGUCUCUACUAAAAAUACAAAAAUUAGCUGGGCAUAGUGGUGCAUGCUUGUAGUCCUAGCUACUCGGGAGGCUGAGGCAGGAGAAUCGCUUGAACCUGGGAGGCAGAGGUUGCAGUGAGCCAAGAUCGCGCCACUGCACUCCAGCCUGGGCAACAGAGCAACAACCUGUCUCAAAAAAAAAAAAAAAAAAAAUAACAUGACCAGGAAGGAAGGUGUUACCGCACAAACAAAAGGUUGAUUCAACAUCAGACAAUCUAUUAAAGAAAUGUACCACUUCAGCAGAUUAGUGGAGGAGACAACAUGAUUAUCUCAAGAGAUUAAAAAAAAGCAUUUACUAUAAGGAAGGAGACCACUACUACUCCUGCUGCCCUCCUCCCCCCACCUUGCCUAGUUCACAAGACAGGAGUAAAGAGAGAAAGAAACACAAGUAAGAUAAAUAGCCAGACAACCUUGGCACCAUCACCCGGCCCUAGAAGUUAAACAAAGUAAUAAUAAUAACAUCAACCCCUGGCCUAAACUACCUGUGUUAUCUGUAAAUUCCAGACACUGUAUGAAAAAAAGCAUUGUAAAACUUUCUGUUCUGUUAGCUGAUGCAUGUAGCCCCCAGUCCCAUUUCCCACGCUUGCUCGAUUUAUCACAACCCUUUCACGUGGGCCCCUUAAAGUAGUAAGUCUUUAAAAAGGCCAAGUAUUUCUUUCUUGGGGAGCUGGGCUCUUAAGACACGAGUCUGCCAACGCUCCCGGCCGAAUAAAAACCUCUUCCUUCUUUAAUCCGGUGUCUGAGGAGUUUUGUCCGUGGCUCGUUCUGCUACAGCUAUAAUUCGAUUAAAUUUAGUUAAAAAACAGAACCCAAAACAAAGAAAACAAAACAAAAAGCAAACCACCCAGGUUUCCAUGAUUACCUCUGUUCUCUGCUCCUGUCCAUUUCUUUCUUUCCUUGUCAUACUGUAUCUUUCCUGCUCUUCUUUUUCCUUUAGAAACUCACACGCUGUCAUGGGUAGUGCCUUUGCCUUGUUCCCUCUGCAUGGAAUAUUCUGGAAUAUUCUGUUCUCAGAGCUUCCCAGGGCUCCCUCUUGUCACUUAGGUAUCAACACAGCUGUCAUCUUCUGGGGCCUUGGUCAGACCCAUCUCUAAAUAACCAGCCCUCUAUUGCACGUUGCCCAGUUUUAUUUCUCCCUGAACAUUGAUGACGAACGUUGCCUUGUUCAUUUACAUGUUUGCUUAUUCAGGAUCUCGCACUUCAAACGCGAGUGUCCAGGACAGUGGGACCUUCCUUGUCUCUCCACUGCCCAGAACAAAACCGGGCACAUUUCAGGUGCCAAAAGAAAAGUUUGCUCCAUUAACUGGUUCUGUUUCC